rnacentral:tRNA from 1 species
GCCCGGGUGGCGGAAUUGGUAGACGCGCAUGCUUCAGGUGCAUGUCUUCGUAAGAAGGUGGGAGUUCAAGUCUCCCCCCGGGCACCA